UACAGAGGGUGCAAGCGUUAAUCGGAAUUACUGGGCGUAAAGCGUGCGUAGACGGUUACAUAAGUCAGAUGUGAAAGCCCCGGGCUCAACCUGGGAAUUGCAUUCGAGACUGCGUAGCUAGGGUGCGGAAGAGGGAAGCGGAAUUUCCGGUGUAGCGGUGAAAUGCGUAGAUAUCGGAAGGAACACCAGUGGCGAAAGCGGCUUCCUGGUCCAGCACCGACGUUCAGGCACGAAAGCGUGGGGAGCAAACAGG
rnacentral:rRNA from 1 species